rnacentral:rRNA from 1 species
AUGCUCCGCCUCAGGAAGUGCGUCGUUUCCUAUAUCCUCUCUUCUUCCUCCACCUCUGCCAUCUCCCCACUCCGCCGCCUCCCCUCCACCACCGCGGCCCCCAUUUCCCCGAACCCCAGUAGCUUCGCCGUCGAGGAGUACCUCGUCCACGCCUGCGGCCUCACGCGGCCCCAAGCCCUCAAGGCCUCCACCAAGCUCUCCCACCUCAAGUCCCCCGCCAAACCCAACGCCGUCCUCGCCUUCCUCUCCGGCCUCGGCCUCUCCGGCGCCGAUGCCGCCGCCGCCGUCGCCAAAGACCCGCAGCUCCUAUGCGCCAAAGUGGACAAAACCCUGGCCCCGCUGGUCGAUGGGCUCACCGGCCUCGGCCUGUCGCGUUCCGACAUCGCCCGCCUCCUCUCGCUCACCCCCGACCACUUCCGCCGUAGAGCCAUGCUCUCCAGGCUGCAGUACUACCUGCCCCUCUUCGGCUCCUUCCACAACUUCCUCCGGCUGCUCAAGAACUCAUCCCGCCUGUUGUAUUUGAACCUCGACAAGGUUAUCAAGCCCAAUGUUGUGUUCCUGAGGGAGUGCGGGCUAGGUGAUUGUGAUAUUGCCCAGCUGUGUAUCCAUGCGCCGAGGUUGCUCACCGCUAACCCGGAGCGCGUCCGGGCGAUGGUGGCAUGCGCCGAAGGUAUAGGCGUGCCCCGUGGCUCUGGGAUGUUCAGAGAAGCGCUACAUGCUGUCGCAUUCCAAAGCAAGGAGAAGAUUGCCGCCAAAGUGGACUACUUGAAGAAUACCUUCAGGUGGUCUGAUGCCGAAGCGAGCGUUGCUGUGCGCAAGUAUCCACGUCUGCUGAGGAAGUCAAAGGAAUCUCUGAAGCGCAGGGCCGGGUUCUUGUUCUCUGAGGUGCGGCUGGAACCCGUGUACAUUGCUUAUCGACCGGAAAUACUUUCUUAUAGCAUGGAGGGUCGACUCAGACCCCGGUACUAUGUUAUCAAGUUUCUCAAGCAAAAUGGACUGCUAGAUCGUGACUUGAGCUUAUUUUAUGCGGUCAAGAUGACUGAGAAAGUAUUUGCGGAGAAGCUCAUAUGCCCUCACAAGGAAGCUGCACCGCACCUCGCUGAAGACUACGCAACUGCUUGCAAAGGGGAAGUUUCAACAAAUUUCAGAUUUAGAUGA